rnacentral:rRNA from 1 species
AUUGAACGCUGGCGGCAGGCCUAACACAUGCAAGUCGAACGGUAGCACAGAGAGCUUGCUCUCGGGUGACGAGUGGCGGACGGGUGAGUAAUGUCUGGGAAACUGCCCGAUGGAGGGGGAUAACUACUGGAAACGGUAGCUAAUACCGCAUAACGUCGCAAGACCAAAGUGGGGGACCUUCGGGCCUCACACCCUCGGAUGUGCCCAGAUGGGAUUAGCUAGUAGGUGGGGUAAUGGCUCACCUAGGCGACGAUCCCUAGCUGGUCUGAGAGGAUGACCAGCCACACUGGAACUGAGACACGGUCCAGACUCCUACGGGAGGCAGCAGUGGGGAAUAUUGCACAAUGGGCGCAAGCCUGAUGCAGCCAUGCCGCGUGUAUGAAGAAGGCCUUCGGGUUGUAAAGUACUUUCAGCGGGGAGGAAGGCGGUGAAGUUAAUAACUUCACCGAUUGACGUUACCCGCAGAAGAAGCACCGGCUAACUCCGUGCCAGCAGCCGCAGUAACAC